rnacentral:rRNA from 1 species
UACGAAGGGUGCAAGCGUUACUCGGAAUUACUGGGCGUAAAGGGUGCGUAGGUGGUUUUUUAAGUCCGUUGUGAAAUCCCUGGGCUCAACCUGGGGAUGGCAGUGGAUACUGGAAAGCUAGAGUGCGGUAGAGGGUAGUGGAAUUCCCGGUGUAGCAGUGAAAUGCGUAGAGAUCGGGAGGAACACCAGUGGCGAAGGCGGCUACCUGGACCAGCACUGACACUGAGGCACGAAAGCGUGGGGAGCAAACAGG